rnacentral:rRNA from 1 species
GACGAACGCUGGCGGCGUGCCUAACACAUGCAAGUCGAACGGAAAGGCCCUGCGUUUGUGGGGUGCUUGAUUGGCGAACGGGUGAGUAACACGUGAGUAACCUGCCCUUGACUUUGGGAUAACUUCAGGAAACUGGGGCUAAUACCGGAUAGGAGCUCCUGCUGCAUGGUGGGGGUUGGAAAGUUUCGGCGGUUGGGGAUGGCUUGGCGGGUUAUCGGCUGGUUGGGGGGGUAGUGGAUUACGACGGCUUUGACGGGUAGGCGGCCUGGGAGGGUGGCCGGCCACAUGGGGACUGCGAUACGGCCCAGACUCCUACGGGAGGCAGCAGUGGGGAAUAUUGCACAAUGGGCGGACGCCUGAUGCAGCAACGCCGCGUGCGGGAUGACGGCCUUCGGGUUGUAAACCGCUUUCGCCUGUGACGAAGCGUGCGUGACGGUAAUGGGUAAAGAAGCACCGGCUAACUACGUG